GUGGCCAGAUCAAAGUUCCCAUUCUUCAUGCAAAUAAGAUCAUCAACCCCAGCCUGAUGUCCUGUUUACAAUGAUUGUUUAACACCCCCUGCCUGACUGGUCCUGAGAUUACAGUGGAACAAACAACAAUCCUGUGAAUGGAAUGUCUCUGUUCUUUAUUACAUUUGCUAAUGAGUCUACCUUGCCUAACUUCUAAGAGAAGACAGGAACAUAUGGUGAAACACAUAACAACAAAAUAAAGACAAUUCUCAACACCUAUAAUUAUUUUUAUAUAAUAAAAUAUUAAUGUCAAUAAUAAUAACAAUUAAACGAUUAUGGUUGUUUUGUUUUUUUACACAUUUAUGCUGUAAUAUUUUAAGAUGAUCAUAUUGCACCCUACUGAAAACCACACAUGGAUUUCUUAUUUCCUAAAAAUUUCAUAUAUUCGUAUUUUCUGGACUAUAAGCAUAAACCGCAUAAUCUAAUUUUAGAAAUAAAAUCAAUUUUGUACUUAUACAAGCUGCACCUGUCUAUAAGCCGCAUUGAAACAUAGGUCGCGGAAGAACUCGCUCGCAAAUCUCCCACGGAGCGGAGUGCAAUGUAGACUGUAGACUCGGGGCGGUCCUGGCUCGCGAUUGGCCCGGAGUCUACACCUACGAAGCGAGGUGUAGACGGGGAAGCCUUCCGAUUGGUCCCGAAGGCAGAAGGCGGGCCCCCGAGGGGCCCCGAUCAUCCGAGCCCAAUAAGAGGGCCGCACAUAAGGGCGCCUGGAAUCAAUCUGCGAAAAUUUGGAUUGAGAUAAACCUUCUGCAAUGGACCCAUUAAUGCCAUCGCUGUGUAUUCUGGACACAAGUGUGCCACAGGAUCGGCAGCAGUGCGUUCUGAAGGCCUCGAAAGAGGCACGGGCAGCCCAAUUGAAGCCACAUCAGCCCACUGAUGACAGUGGACUGAGAUGUCUUAAGACUGCCUGUGAUGAAGCUAAAAGGAGAUGCCGCCUGGUCACCCAAAAUCCCUCAGAGGUGCAGUGGAUGGGUCAGCUAAUUCUGACUUUUGGCAAGUACCGAGGCAAAAGCUUCCAGUGGCUGUUGGCUACAUUAAAUAUAUUGUUGAUCGCCAAGAGAAGCAGCGGCCAGAGAGAGGACCGAUAAAUGACGAGUGGGUUAAGGAUUACCUCCUCAAGUACAUCCAGUUCUUCCCGCACGUGUCGAGCCACCUGGAGAUGUGUGUGGACAGAGCCAUUUACGGACAGGGGCGGUUCAAGUCGUUUACGUUCGAGGAGAUGUGGAAGUGGUACAGCCUCCAUAAACAACUUCUGUCCGACCCCCAAUGUGGAAGUGACCACGAGAGGAGAAUGGCUCAGGAAGCACACACCUCUGUGAAGCAAUGGUUGGUCAUGGCCGAAAAUGACAUAGCGACCAGCUCCCUGAAAGGAUUCCGAAAAUACAUUCUCGACAGAGAGAAGGCACAACACUGUGCGCCCCCCCCUACAGCGACUGCCGCCACCACUGCUACUGCCACUUCCAGCAGCUCAUCGGCACGUACAGUCGCUACCGUUCAGGAGGAUGAUGCCGUGCUUGCUGAGGCUCUUGCCUCAUAUGAAAGAAAAGCUGCAGCAGAAAAGGCCAAAAGACCUGGAAAACAGAGCCGACCAGCGUCUGCACACAAGUCCGUCAGACGCACCACUCCAUCGUCGACGGCAAGAUCGCCGUCCGAACCACACAUCGAGGUUCCGGUAGCAGCUCCCGAGAGGACGACCGCCGUGAUGGAUGCAGCGCCUCAGCCCUGUCGGCCCACAGCAACAUCAGCAGCACAACCGGAGGUGACAUACGAGGGAUGGCACAAAAUAUGGGAGUCUGCUCCCACAGGCUGA
rnacentral:lncRNA from 1 species